rnacentral:rRNA from 1 species
AUUGAACGCUGGCGGCAGGCCUAACACAUGCAAGUCGAGCGGAUGAGAGGAGCUUGCUCCUUGAUUCAGCGGCGGACGGGUGAGUAAUGCCUAGGAAUCUGCCUAUUAGUGGGGGACAACGUUUCGAAAGGAACGCUAAUACCGCAUACGUCCUACGGGAGAAAGCAGGGGACCUUCGGGCCUUGCGCUAAUAGGUGAGC